GCGGUGGAGCAUGUGGUUUAAUUCGACGCAACGCGAAGAACCUUACCAGGGCUUGACAUCCCUCGACCGUCUAUGAAAGUAGGCUUCUACCUUCGGGUAGACAGGGAGACAGGUGGUGCAUGGUUGUCGUCAGCUCGUGUCGUGAGAUGUUGGGUUAAGUCCCGCAACGAGCGCAACCCUUACGGUUAGUUGCCAGCGGGUUAUGCCGGGCACUCUAGCUGAACUGCCGUUGACAAACGGAGGAAGUGGGGAUGACGUCAAAUCAUCAUGCCCUUUAUGUCCUGGGCUACACACGUGCUACAAUGGCCUGUACAGAGGGAAGCGAAAGGGUGACCUGGAGCGAAUCCCAAAAGCAGGUCUCAGUUCGGAUUGCAGGCUGCAACCCGCCUGCAUGAAGUCGGAAUCGCUAGUAAUCGCGGGUCAGCAUACUGCGGUGAAUACGUUCCCGGGCCUU
rnacentral:rRNA from 1 species